GGGUCCAGGAGGAGCUCAAAGACAACAAGUGUGGGCUGAGCGAGCUGAACACAGCCACUGUCAGCAGGCAGCCAGCAGGUAAGAAGGGGCCUCCCGGAGCACCCACGGAAGCCAGCCAGGAUGCUCUCCAUAUUCAAUUUCUGGGACACAUUCAACAUCUGGGCCAUAUUCGACAUCUGGGGCCCGAUCAACAGAGUGCUCUUCUUCCUCAGCCUCACCGUCAGUCUUGCAGGGCUGGCGGGCAACACGCUGCUGCUCUGGCACCUCGGUCUGCACAUCAAGAAGGGCCCCUUCAACACCUACCUGCUGCACCUGGCCGCUGCUGAUUUCCUCUUCCUCUCCUGCCAAGUUGCCUUCUCUCUUGCCAAGAUCGUGUCGGGCCA
rnacentral:lncRNA from 1 species